AUUGAACGCUGGCGGCAUGCUUUACACAUGCAAGUCGAACGGUAACAGGCCUUCGGGUGCUGACGAGUGGCGAACGGGUGAGUAAUGCAUCGGAACGUACCCAGAGGUGGGGGAUAACGCAGCGAAAGCUGUGCUAAUACCGCAUGUGAUCUGAGGAUGAAAGCGGGGGACCGAGCAGCAAUGUUUGGCCUCGCGCCUUUGGAGCGGCCGAUGUCGGAUUAGCUAGUUGGUGGGGUAAAGGCCUACCAAGGCGACGAUCCGUAGCUGGUCUGAGAGGACGACCAGCCACACUGGGACUGAGACACGGCCCAGACUUCUACGGGAGGCAGCAGUGGGGAAUUUUGGACAAUGGGCGCAAGCCUGAUCCAGCAAUGCCGCGUGCGGGAAGAAGGCCUUCGGGUUGUAAACCGCUUUUGGCAGGAACGAAACGGUGUCCGCUAAUACCGGGCGCUAAUGACGGUACCUGCAGAAUAAGCACCGGCUAACUACGUG
rnacentral:rRNA from 1 species